GCGAGAACACGUAGUCAAUCUAACCUGUGGACGAGGAUAACCUCGGGAAACUGAGAAUAAUACUCGAUAGAUCAUUAUGCCUGGAACGGUUUAUGGUUCAAAUGAAUUUCGCCAUAGGAUGGGACUGCGGUCUAUCAGCUUGUUGGUGAUGUAAUGGACCACCAAGGCGAUUACAGAUACGGGCUCUGAGAGGAGAAGCCCGGAGAUGGGUACUGAAACACGGACCCAGGCCCUAUGGGGCGCAGCAGGCGAGAAAACUUUGCAAUGUGCGAAAGCACGACAAGGUUAAUCCGAGUGAUUCCUGCUAAAGGAAUCUUUUGUUAGUCAUAAAACCACUAUUGAAUAAGGGGAGGGCAAGUCUGGUGUCAGCCGCCGCGGUAAUACCAGCUCCCCGAGUGGUCGGGACGAUUAUUGGGCCUAAAGCAUCCGUAGCCUGCUCCGCAGGUCUUCUGUUAAAUUCAACGGCUUAACCGUUGAGCUGCAGGAGAUACCACGGGGCUAGGAGGCGGAAGAGGUAGACGGUACUCCAUGGGUAGGGGUAAAAUCCUUUGAUCCAUGGAAGACCACCAGUGGCGAAGGCGGUCUACCAGAACGCGCUCGACGGUGAGGGAUGAAAGCUGGGGGAGCGAACCGGAUUAGAUACCCGGGUAGUCCCAGCCGU
rnacentral:rRNA from 1 species